UACGUAGGGUGCAAGCGUUGUCCGGAAUUAUUGGGCGUAAAGAGCUCGUAGGCGGUCUGUCACGUCGGCUGUGAAAACCCGAGGCUCAACCUCGGGCCUGCAGUCGAUACGGGCAGACUAGAGUUCGGUAGGGGAGACUGGAAUUCCUGGUGUAGCGGUGAAAUGCGCAGAUAUCAGGAGGAACACCGGUGGCGAAGGCGGUUCUCUGGGCCUUACCUGACACUGAGGAGCGAAAGCGUGGGGAGCGAACAGG
rnacentral:rRNA from 1 species